GCGACUUAUAUUCUGUAGCAAGGUUAACCGUAUAGGGGAGCCGAAGGGAAACCGAGUCUUAACUGGGCGUUAAGUUGCAGGGUAUAGACCCGAAACCCGGUGAUCUAGCCAUGGGCAGGUUGAAGGUUGGGUAACACUAACUGGAGGACCGAACCGACUAAUGUUGAAAAAUUAGCGGAUGACUUGUGGCUGGGGGUGAAAGGCCAAUCAAACCGGGAGAUAGCUGGUUCUCCCCGAAAGCUAUUUAGGUAGCGCCUCGUGAACUCAUCUUCGGGGGUAGAGCACUGUUUCGGCUAGGGGGCCAUCCCGGCUUACCAACCCGAUGCAAACUACGAAUACCGAAGAAUGUUAUCACGGGAGACACACGGCGGGUGCUAACGUCCGUCGUGAAGAGGGAAACAACCCAGACCGCCAGCUAAGGUCCCAAAGUCAUGGUUAAGUGGGAAACGAUGUGGGAAGGCACAGACAGCCAGGAUGUUGGCUUAGAAGCAGCCAUCAUUUAAAGAAAGCGUAAUAGCUCACUGGUCGAGUCGGCCUGCGCGGAAGAUGUAACGGGGCUAAACCAUG
rnacentral:rRNA from 1 species